rfam:Picea glauca, whole genome shotgun sequence.
ACAUGCCUACAUCAUAACGUUAAUGCACUGGAUCCCAUUAAAACUCUGCAGUUAAGCACGCUCAGGAUAAAGUAGUACUGGGAUGGGUUACCGCCCAAUAAGUCCUAGUGUUUUACAUGCC